UACGUAGGGUGCAAGCGUUGUCCGGAAUUAUUGGGCGUAAAGAGCUCGUAGGCGGUUUGUCGCGUCGGCUGUGAAAACCCAGGGCUCAACCCUGGGCCUGCAUUCGAUACGGGCAGACUAGAGUGUGGCAGGGGAGACUGGAAUUCCUGGUGUAGCGGUGAAAUGCGCAGAUAUCAGGAGGAACACCGGUGGCGAAGGCGGGUCUCUGGGCCAAUACUGACGCUGAGGAGCGAAAGCGUGGGGAGCGAACAGG
rnacentral:rRNA from 1 species